rnacentral:sRNA from 1 species
GUCCCUGUUUGGGGGCUCCCAGGGUCUCCGAAAGGACCGGCCCCUGCCCCCACCGUCAUCACUGAAAGCGUCAUCCAGGGAACUCACAGCCGGUGCCCCAGAGCUGGAUGUGCUGCUGACGGUACACCUCCAAGUCUGCAAAGCUCUGCUGCAGAAACUGGCCUCCCCUAAUUUAUCAAGGCUGGUCCAGGAAUGCCUCCUGGAAGAAGUGGCACAGCAAAAGCACGUUCUGGAGACACUUUCUGUCCUUGACUUUGAGAAAGUCGGCAAGGCAACAUCCAUUGAAGAGAGUCCUAGUGGAGGGAAACCUUUCGGGUCGUUGACAUGUGCUCUCCCCGAGUCACCAUUCAGGUUUCUGAACUGGGGCUUUCAGUCAUCCCACAGGCCUCGCGGACGAAGGGGUGCCUGAAGCUGUGGAGAGGGUGCACAGGGCCUGGCAGGGUCCUGUCCUGCCCUGCCACGACGCUGCUGAACCAGCUCAAGAAAACCUUCCUGCACAGAGUCAGAGGGAAGUACCCAGGACAGCUGGAAAUAGCGUGCCGCAGGCUCCUGGAGCAGGUGGUCAGCUGUGGUGGGCUGCUCCCUGGAGCUGGGCUCCCAGAACAACAGAUCAUUACCUGGUUCCAGUUUCACGGCUACCUGCAGAGGCAGAGCGUCUCUGACCUGGAGAAGCACUUCACCCAGCUCACCAAGGAAGUGACACUCAUCGAGGAGCUUCACUGUGCGGGACAGGCCAAGGCGGUCCGGAAGCUGCAGGGGAAGCGGCUGGGCCAGCUCCAGCCUCUGCCCCAGACCUUAAGAGCCUGGGCGCUGCUCCAGCUGGACGGCACUCCGAGGGUGUGCAGGGCGGCCAGCGCUCGCCUGGCUGGUGCAGUCAGGAACAGAAGCUUCCGGGAAAAGGCUUUGCUGUUCUACACCAACGCCCUGGCAGAGAACGACGCAAGGCUCCAGCA